UUGGUUAUCAGUUUAAAUAAUUUCCCUGCUUGUUUCCCUCCUCCUGUUUUGAAUUAUCCUGUAGACUGGAGAGGUUGAAUACAGCAAUCAGGCUUUUUUGUAUCCAGCUGACACGUGGGACUGGUUCGCUCACUGCUACAUGCUGGUUCUGAGAGAAGGGAGCCUUCCUUGCCAGGGAGCCGCUGGGCACGACGUAUCCAGGUCUUACGCUAGGUUCAUACCUAGGUUCAAAGAGAUUGGGUUCCUGCCGCAGGGGACUGACACAAACAGCAAAGAUCAAGGAAGGGCUGCAGCAAAAACAGCCUGCUCCUUGAUGCCGAGUGGGACCACCUGUUCUUCACUCUUGGGCAGAGUGACUGGAUUUGGUGGAGUCGGGCUGGGUUUGAGAGGCCGCUGGGCUAGAUUGAAGAUGAGUUUGCUAGUUCUGGAGAGUGGUGAGCUGCCACGGUGCUCCGAGGAGUUUGCAGAGAGUCUGCCCCUGUGUCAGAUGUUCCCUCCAUAUCCCCAUCGCCCUGUCAGCUGAAUCUCUGAUUGCCACUGAAGGCAGACAGCAGCCUCUGGAGCACCGGAGGGGGUUUGAAGGUGAAAAAUCUCCAAAGACAGCAUCUGAAAGUUGUGCUCCUAGCUGCACAGCCUUUGAGGUCUGCGGCGGAGACAGCGCGGGAGCAAAUCCAUCUUGGAAGCUGCUUUUUCUCUCUCCUGCCUGCUCCCCUUUUCUCUCUCGCAGUCCUUUUGCUCCAAUCUCCCUCAUCAGACUUUAAUGACAUUCCCAGUUACUGCCACUAAUGAAGGGCCACGGCUUUCACUAACAGGCCAACUGAGAUGGAUUCUUCAUGAUUGACUAGAUAGCCCAAGAGGGGCUGUGUGACAGCUCUCCUCCCCGGGGCUUUGAACAAAUGCUCUCGUCUCUAAUCGAGUUCCUUCCAGGAUUAAUGAAGCCCUGAGAUCACUUUUAUCUCCCGGAACAAGACGGGGCAGCUUCCAGAAUCAAAGUCCCUCAGUAAGCAAGGGAACGGCUGGUUCGGCACAGCAGCAUUUUUAGGAGAGCACAGAGCUGGGGCCGGGGAAGUAAAAAUAGAGGUGUGUGGAGUGGUGGAGGAGGGGGUAGACGAGUGCCUGUUAUAAUGCCACACUAUGGCAAUCGGCAGGUCUCCUUUACACACCCAGGCCUUAUCUUUUACACCUGCACUGUUUCCCUUGGGUUUUGCACCCAGUUCUGUGGAGUGGCUUCAAUGGGAUCUUUAUUUUCCCUUCCAGUGUUGCCCUCCAUCAGGAAAUGACUGUUUUGCCAAAGAUGAAGCAGGGCAGAAUGGACAAGAUGGAUCCAUUUCUGUCCUGGCCAGCAGGGCUACGGCUGGGUGAUAUGAUUAAAGUGAGGACAAAUCAUCCUUCACUCUGGUCAACACAGUAUGUCUGCCCAGGAACAACUGGAGACCAGAGGUGCAUGGUGCUGGAGGGAGACUUAGGUUCAUCUCUCUCUCCAUUUGGUUUCUUACUUCUGCCUCCUCACCACCCAUCAACCCCACCAUGGGGUGAGAGCCCUGCUCCCCGAGAGUCGCUAGGGGUGCUUCACUCUUGGGUGGGUGCAACAACCAGCUGUGCCAACCCCAUCUGGAUCCCUCUGGUCAUCAGGAAGAUCUGGAAAAAAGAAAGUCCUGAGGAAGCAGCCCAGAACAGCACAAGCAAUUGGGCAAGGAGUGGGAUAUCAGAGAGCCCUGCAGCAGGUGGCAUCCCAGCAGAGCUAGAAACGGCAAUGGGAGGGAAAGGGGGACAGACUCCUAUCUGCCGGACCAGAAGUGAUCAUCUCUUUUUGAGCCAGCUGGGGGCACUGCAGGUAUGGUAUAAACGGGGGGCCAUGGCCCGGGGCACAGGGUCCAGUUGUGACAUGAGGGGCUGGAAGGGAGAUGGUAGGUGUUGGCGUGCAUGUGCUUUGCUAAAACCAAGGAGAGCCGAGCCUUCAACUCUUCUUGCGGGUUUGCCAUCACGCGUGCAGCUCCAGCUGCAACGGGGUUAUCGAGUCUCCCCCAUGCCCAGGUCGGUGGGGACAGAAAGGGGGCUGCGUGACUAGCUCUGGCUCCGAGAACAAUGGCAGCAAGGAGCUGGCGAGGUCGCUCCCACCCUCUGGCUCCAUUUCACCGAAGUAUUUAGAUAGCAAUCUCAAGGCCGGAAUGUAAAUUGGAAGCAGAUCCGGGUGCUGAGGCUGGAGCCAGAUGUUAAAGGUAACCCGGCCGCAUGAAACGCGGAGCGGGGGAAUGAAUUGAUGGGCCUCGACAGUCCCCCCAGCCGCAGCGCACCCGGGCACAGCCAAAGUGGAGGAGGGAACAGUCUGCGGUUUCGUUGUUGCCUGCAGCUCAUUUCUAGCCCGUUCAGCUUGCGUUCCCUUGGGAGGGGGGGCAAGGAUGUGGGGCCUGUGGGAAGGGCUCGGUUUUUGCUGUACUGGAGUUGUGUAAAUGAAAGGGGCACGCUCAUGGGGAACGAGUGCAUCUACAGGGCGCGUAUCUAAGGGUGCCUGGGGGGGGUGCAUGUGGCGCCCGUGUGCCGCGUGUCCACAGGGCGCGGGGGUGAGUGGCUGGACGCGAUGGCAUGCUGGCAGCGGGGGGCUUGGGCAAAUGUGCCUGUGUAUUCAGAGGGGUGAUGCUCCACUUCUCUUCUCCAGGAAAGCAGUACCCGCCUGACCCCAGCCCUCGCCCUGUGCGUUCCCGCUGUCAGGCUGGAGGCUUUGGGGUUUGUUCCUGGCGUGCAGGAACGCCUCCUCCUUUCUUCCGUGCUCCUCCAGAUGCUUUAAGGGGCUGCUCGGGGUUUCCUUGCGUCCCCCAG